rnacentral:tRNA from 2 species
UAGAAAGUUAGUCUAACCAAGAUA